GAGGUUUAUAUGUAGGUUUAUAUUGUUAUCUGUGUUGGUUUAGGGCUGUGUGUGAGAAAGAUUUGGUUUAAUUUAUGGAUGCGAGGAUUUUUGGUUUAAGUGGACUACGUGGCUACCUUAGUAGUUUUUGUUAAGUAAUAGAAGGUUUAUAAGUGGUUUACAUUGCUAUUUGUGGUAUAUCAAGGCGGUUUAUGUGAAAGAUUUGGUUUAACUGAUAUAAACGAAGAUUUUUUUGUUGUAAGUGGACCACGUGGCAAUCUUCGAAGUAGGCUUUUUAAGUAACAGAAGGUUUAUAAGUGGUUUACAUUGCUAUUUGUGGUGGUUUGGGGCGGUCUGUGUUAAAGAUUUGGUUUAAUUUAUGGAAACUUAAGAUUUCUUGUUUAAGUGGAUCACGCGGUUACCUUAGAAGUCGGUUUUCUAAUAGUAAGUAACGGUUUAUAAGUGGUUAACAUUGCUCUUUGUGGUAUAUCAAGACGGUUUAUGUGAGGGAGAUUGGUUUAAUGUAUGGAAACUUAUAUAUUCUAGUGCGUCUACCGAAUUUUUACCUACCUACUGAAUUUUCUUGCAAUAAUCUACUGAAAUUUUUACCUACCUACUCAUCUACUGAAUUUAUUUACGUAUCCACUGAAUUUUCUCGCGAUAAUCUACUGAAAUUUCCUCUGCUGUCCCAUGCCCCACACACUCCCCCGGUUUGGCCCCGUGCCCCGCUGGUCCUAAGUGUGGGGUAGAGUGAAGGGGCCCUGAUUAACUCACGGUGCCCAAAUUGGUGCUCGUGAACCUGUCCAGGGCCACAAGAAAUAGAACCUUUGUUAAUAUAUUCAAGUCUUGUGCUGCUAGGUGGAUGCUGGGAAUGUGGAGAGGUUGAUCUGAGAAAUGGCUUUGUUGAAUGGAAUAUAUGUUUGCCCUGAUCUGCCUCCUUCAAUUCAAGGAAAAAUCAACUUAAAGGUAGAGGGAAGAUGAAGAGGAGGAGAGAGAAAACGAUGGAGGAAAGAGCGAGUUGAAUGGAAGGAAGAGAAAGGAAUUGAAGAGUUGGUAUCUGGGUUUAGAGGAGGAAAAGUUGAUGGAAGGAAGAAGCGGAAAGGAAGGAAGUAGAAGAAAAUAAAUAAGAAAAAUGCAAAGAAUAUUGAAUGGAUAAAUGAGGGAGUUACUUAGAAGGAAAACUAGAAGACAGGAGAUGAAAAUAUGACUAGCAAAUGCAAUGUGAUAUGGAUUAGCAAGAUUGGUUCUACUACUACUACUACUAUUAUAUUGAAAGAUGACUCCAGAACUUCGACCCACUGGAAGAUGAGCGACCGGAACAAUGGAGAGAUUACGAUGUUUACCUGCGUACGGAGACUGGACAGGUGUGAAGGGCUCUCGUUAACCACCCACACCUGUAAACCCCUGCCUAAGGAGACUGGACAGGUGUGAAGGGCUCUCGUUAACCACACACACCUGUAAACCCCUGCCUAAGGAGACGACAGGUGUGAAGGGCUCUCGUUAACCACACACACCUGUAAACACCUGCCUAUCCUUAAACACAGCGACGGAGCCAGCGGAAGAUUCUACCUCCUAAGCAGUGGAGGAGAAAUUGAUAGUGCGUUUGUGUGUGCAUUGCUGUCACCUUGGUACAUAAGAGUUUCCGCUGAAGAAAAGGAUCGCAUGAAGGGAUUGAGUUCUUAUGUAAAGUGGAAAUAAAAAUGGAUUAGUUAUUUUUGUGUAUUAUUUUGCUUUAACUUUUUUUUUCUUCAAACUUCAAUACAAUCUUUAAUACUUAGGUCAUUGAUAAGUUGUAUAAGUAAGGUCACUACAGGUUAUUGACAAGUUAUAUAAGUAAACUUUAAUAUCCUUUUUUUACUACUGUUUCUGUGUGACAAGUAGGCUUAAUGAACUUGUACUUAUAAUGUCAAAUACUUAAUCUAAAAAGUGCUUAUCAAAUAUCAACUAAUCUAUUUUUUCCUUACAAACUUCAAUACAAUCUUUAAUACUUAGGUCACUACAGGUCAUUGACAAGUUAUAUAAGUAAACUGAUAUCCUUUUUUACUACUGUUCCUGUUUGACAAGUAGGCUUAAUCAACUUUUACUUAUAAUGUCAAAUACUUAAUCUAAAAAGUGCUUAUCAAAUAUCAACGAAUCUAUU